UACGUAGGGUGCGAGCGUUAAUCGGAAUUACUGGGCGUAAAGCGUGCGCAGGCGGUGCGUUAAGACCGAUGUGAAAUCCCCGAGCUUAACUUGGGAACUGCAUUGGUGACUGGCGCGCUCGAGUAUGGCAGAGGGGGGUGGAAUUCCACGUGUAGCAGUGAAAUGCGUAGAGAUGUGGAGGAACACCGAUGGCGAAGGCAGCCCCCUGGGCCAAUACUGACGCUCAUGCACGAAAGCGUGGGGAGCGAACAGG
rnacentral:rRNA from 1 species